UGAGGAAUAUUGGGCAAUGCCCGCAAGGGUGACCCAGCAACGCCGCGUGGAGGAUGAAUGUCGUAAGAUUGUAAACUCCUGUUAGAGGGGAAGAAUAGUACCGGUUGGCCGGUAUAUGACUGUACCCUCAGAGAAAGCCCCGGCUAACUACGUGCCAGCAGCCGCGGUAAUACGUAGGGGGCAAGCGUUGUCCGGAUUUACUGGGUGUAAGGGCGGGCAGGCGGGAUAAAAGGUUAGUGGUGAAACCCUACAGCUUAACUGUAGAACUGCCUUUGAUACUUUUAUUCUUGAGUUCGGGAGAGAGAGACGGAAUUCCAGGUGUAGUGGUGAAAUACGUAGAUAUCUGGAAGAACACCAGUUGCGAAGGCGGUCUCUUGGUCCGACACUGACGCUGAGGCGCGAAAGCGUGGGGAGCAAACA
rnacentral:rRNA from 1 species